rnacentral:sRNA from 12 species
AGACCACCCUUCGGGGUCGAGGCCAUACGGACAGCCGGGUCAAAUGCCGA